UUAAGCCAUGCAAGUCGAACGAGUUUAGGCUCGUGGCGUACGGCCCAGUAACACGUGGAUAACCUACCCUUAGGACCGGGAUAACCUUGGGAAACUGAGGAUAAUACUGGAUAGGCAAUUAUUUCUGCAAUGGUUUUUUUGUUUAAAUGUUUUUUCGCCUAAGGAUGGGUCUGCGGCCGAUUAGGUAGUUGGUUAGGUAAAGGCUUACCAAGCCGUUGAUCGGUACGGGUUGUGAGAGCAAGAGCCCGGAGAUGGAACCUGAGACAAGGUUCCAGGCCCUACGGGGUGCAGCAGGCGCGAAACCUCCGCAAUGUGAGAAAUCGCGACGGGGGGAUCCCAAGUGCCAUUCUUAACGGGAUGGCUUUUCAUUAGUGUAAAGAGCUUUUGGAAUAAGGGCUGGGCAGGACCGGUGCCAGCCGCCGCGGUAA
rnacentral:rRNA from 1 species